UACGGGGGAUGCAAGCGUUAUCCGGAAUCAUUGGGCGUAAAGCGCCUGUAGGUUGUUUAAUAAGUCUGUUGUUAAAGACUAGGGCUCAACCCUAGGAAAGCAAUGGAAACUACUAGACUUGAGUAUGGCAGGGGUAGAGGGAAUUUCUAGUGUAGCGGUGAAAUGCGUAGAUAUUAGAAAGAACACCGGUGGCGAAAGCGCUCUACUGGACCAUUACUGACACUCAGAGGCGAAAGCUAGGGUAGCAAAAGGGAUUAGAUACCCCUGUAGUCCUAGCCGUAAACGAUGGAUACUAGAUGUUGCGUAUAAUGUGCAGUAUCUUAGCUAACGCGUUAAGUAUCCCGCCUGGGGAGUACGCUCGCAAGGGUG
rnacentral:rRNA from 1 species